rnacentral:rRNA from 1 species
GACGAACGCUGGCGGCGUGCUUAACACAUGCAAGUCGAACGGAAAGGCCCCUUUGGGGGUACUCGAGUGGCGAACGGGUGAGUAACACGUGAGUAACCUGCCCUUGACUUCGGGAUAACUUCAGGAAACUGGGGCUAAUACCGGAUAGGAAUCCUUGCUGCAUGGUGGGGGUUGGAAAGCUUCGGCGGUUUUGGAUGGACUCGCGGCCUAUCAGCUUGUUGGUGGGGUAGUGGCUUACCAAGGCUUUGACGGGUAGCCGGCCUGAGAGGGCGACCGGCCACAUUGGGACUGAGAUACGGCCCAGACUCCUACGGGAGGCAGCAGUGGGGAAUAUUGCUCAAUGGGCGGAAGCCGGAUGCAGCAACGCCGCGUGCGGGAUGACGGCCUUCGGGUUGUAAACCGCUUUCAGCAGGGGCGAAGCUUGUGGUGACGGUACCUGCAGAAGAAGCACCGGCUAACUACGUG